rnacentral:snRNA from 1 species
ACUGCUUCUCGGUCUUUUGGCUAAGAUCAGAUGUAGUAUCUGUUCUCCUCAGUUUAAUAUCUGAUACAUCCUCUAUUCAAGGACAAUAUGUUAAAUGGAUUUUUGGAGCAGGGAGUUGGAAAAGGAGCUUGCCCCAUCCACUCCAUGCAUUGAUCUGGUAUUGCAGUACCUCUAGGCCCAGUGCACCCCUU